UACAGAGGGGGCGAGCGUUAUUCGGAAUUAUUGGGCGUAAAGGGCGCGUAGGCGGCAUGGCAAGUGGAACGUGAAAUCCCUCGGCUCAACCGAGGAACUGCCUUCCAGACUGCUUUGCUUGAGUCCGGGAGAGGUGAGUGGAAUUCCCAGUGUAGCGGUGAAAUGCGUAGAUAUUGGGAGGAACACCAGUGGCGAAGGCGGCUCACUGGACCGGAACUGACGCUGAGGCGCGAAAGCGUCGGGAGCAAACGGG
rnacentral:rRNA from 1 species